CGCCAGGUGCUUCGCCUUGCGCAGCACCGUCACGAGCUUCACCACAUCCACGGUCCCCACAACCAUCAGCGUGCUCUUCUCCUCGUCAACUGUCAUCGACUUUAUCCCUGGCAUCAUUACACAGUGUAGGUCGAGACUAAUUAAGGACGCACGAAUGACCAGAUAUGAGAAAAUCAUGGCUAUUUUAGAGAGAAAGGAUACCUUCGAGCUUUGACGCAAUCCUCAGGAUGAACGAUGAUAUGCAGCGCUUGCCGUUGAUUUCCAGCUUAAGCACCAUCUGAUCCAGAACAGUAGUGACUAACACAGUUCCGGGUUUUUUCACAUGUUCUGUACUCUCCGUUUCAAAAAAAAAAAAUGCUCUGUACUCCUACUAAAUUGACGUUUCAAAUAGAUGUCACUUUAGGAGCAAAAAGUUGUACUCCCUCCAAUCCAAAUUAAUUGACACACACAUUAAGUGUGCGCCAAUUAAUUUGGAUUGGAGGGAGUACGUAUUUUGUUUUGUUUUAAAACAACAAAUUAAAUUAGUCAGUUGUGUAAAAUCCUUUAUUCAUGCCACCUUGCUAUUAUUCGACUACUACAUUUAUACACACGCCUUGGGAGGAUUUUUUUUUAGUGUCUGUGGGAUGGGGGCGUUUACAGUUUUCAUACCGAAAAUUGUGCAUUUCGUUUAUGAAAUCAAACAACAAGCGACUAUUAGGCGGUGUAAGCUCUUCCAAUGACCAUGUUUAAGAACUAAUUAAUCCCUUCAUUGUUUAAAAAGAUGACGCUUUGGACAACACUAUCUCCAAAAUGUAACUUUGAUCGUUAGUUUCUGCUAAUUGUAAAACCUAAUAACAUGGAAUGUAUUUUUUAUAGAGAAAAUAGUACGUGUGGUUUCCACACAUUCAACAAAACAUUUUCAGAAAUUUGAUGGUUAUUUUUUAAAAUGACGAAACUAUGUUUAAAAUGUCAAGUUUUCUAGGGAGGAGUUGGCAAAUCGUUUAGAUUUUACCACUUGUCUGAGGGAACUCUGAACUGCCCAUGGCGCUGGUAGUAGUGCCCGUGGUGCGACUGGUGAUUUUAAUUCCUCACAUGAUGGUAAUAAUGUUGCUUUCGAAGGAACAAGCAUCUGCAUGUAAGCCAUCAACUUAGGCUGAGCGCUAAGUAGGAGUAUAUGCCAUGGCACCAAUAAUACAUAUAUCUAUGCUCUGGGGAUGAAUUACUUACGCCACAUCUGAUUGACUGUUUCGUUUCCUUGUUAUCAAGCUUAUUGACGAUAUACCGUGUAACGGGUCUUUUCCCUGGGUC
rnacentral:lncRNA from 1 species